rnacentral:rRNA from 1 species
GAUGAACGCUGGCGGCGUGCCUAAUACAUGCAAGUCGAGCGAAAAGACGCGGCGCUUGCUCCUCUGUCGUUAGCGGCGGACGGGUGAGUAACAUGUGGAUACCCUCCCUAUCAGACUGGGAUAACUUCGGGAAACCGGCGCUAAUACCGGAUAAUAUAUUGAACCGCAUGGUUCAAUAGUGAAAGACGGUUUUGCUGGCACUUCUCGAUGGAUCCGAGCCGCAUUAGCUAGUUGGUAAGGUAACGGGUUACCACGGCGACGAUGCGUAUCCGACCUGAGAGGCGGGUCGGCCACACGGGAACGUAGACACGUUCCAGACUCCUACGGGAGGCAGCAGUAGGGAAUCUUCCGCAAUGGGCGAAAGCCUUACGGAGCAACGCCGCGUGAGUGAUGAAGGUCUUCGGAUCGUAAAGCUCGGUUAUUAGGGAAGAACAAAUGUGUAAGUAACUAUGCACGUCGUGACGGUACCUAAUCAGAAAGCCACGGCUAACUACGUG